rnacentral:miRNA from 14 species
CUGCGCAGGACUCAGCCAGCUGUCGCCACAAUUUUACAAAGUAUGAAAGUAAGAAUCAGAGAGGUAAAACUAGAAAGACCUAAUGCCUGUCAGUGGUGGCACAUGCUUUUAAUCCCCG